rnacentral:rRNA from 1 species
UACGUAGGGUGCGAGCGUUGUCCGGAAUUAUUGGGCGUAAAGAGCGUGUAGGCGGUUCGGUAAGUCUGUCGUGAAAUCCUGAGGCUCAACCUCGGGCGUGCGAUGGAUACUGCCGGGCUAGAGGGUGGUAGAGGCGAGUGGAAUUCCUGGUGUAGCGGUGAAAUGCGCAGAUAUCAGGAGGAACACCAAUGGCGAAGGCAGCUCGCUGGGACGUGACUGACGCUGAGACGCGAAAGCGUGGGGAGCAAACAGG